rnacentral:rRNA from 1 species
AUGCGUCUCUUCAGUGAAGUAUUGAUCUCGUCCAUGGCGAGAAGCGCUCCAUGGCCGGUGACUGGUGCAGCAACCCAUGGCUGGUCCGUAGAUGCUGGAAGCCGGCCACCAUGGUGCUGCCUGCCGGCUACGCCUGCGCUAGAAGCCGCCGGACCAGACCGCCCGCCUCUGGAGCUACAUCUGCCGUCGCUCGCCGUUCGAUGUCGCCGCCGUCCUGGAGGAGUGCCAGCGUCCAUGGCUCUCGCCUCCUCGAGCUCAUAUGCAACAACAAAUUUGUUGCAAUUUUUGCAACAAAGGUCUUAUUGUAGAAAAUUAGACGUGGAGGAGGUCUUGUUGCAAUUUCCGCAACAAGGGUCUUGUUGCAGAAAAUUAGACGCGACAGAAGUUGUUGUUGCAAAUUUUACAACAAGAUCUUGUUGCAGAAAAUUAGACGCGGCGAAAGACGUUAUUGCAUUUUUUGCAAAGACCUUGUUGCAGAAAAUUAGAGAAGAAGAGGUUUUGCAAUAUGGGCUUGUUGCAGGAAAUUAUAGAAGAUGA